UGAAGUUGUGUGCCGUAGGAACAGGAA
rnacentral:sRNA from 1 species